rnacentral:rRNA from 1 species
GAAUUCGAUUCGUAUUACCGCGGCUGCUGGCACAGAGUUAGCCGGUGCUUAUUCUGAAAGUACCGUCAAGAACUACCCUUCUUCAGGUUAACCCCUUCUUCCUCUCCUAAAGUGCUUUACAACCUUGAAGGCCUUCUUCACACACGCGGCAUCGCUGGAUCAGGGUUCCCCCCAUUGUCCAAUAUUCCCCACUGCUGCCUCCCGUAGGAGUCUGGGCCGUGUCCCAGUCCCAGUGUGGCUGAUCAUCCUCUCAGACCAGCUAAGGAUCGUCGGCUUGGUAGGCCUUUACCCCACCAACUACCUAAUCCUACGCGGGCUCAUCCCUCGGCGAUAAAUCUUUGGACCGAAGUCAUCAUCCGGUAUUAGCAGUCAUUUCUAACUGUUAUUCCGAACCAAGGGGCAGAUUCCCACGCGUUACGCACCCGUGCGCCACUAAGGCCGAAGCCUUCGUUCGACUUGCAUGUGUUAGGCAUGCCGCCAGCGUUCAUUCUGACCCCGGCUCAAACUCUAAUCACUAGUGAAUUCGCGCCCGCCUGCAGGUCGACCAUAUGGGAG